UUGCUUCAGCAGCACAUAUACUAAAAUUGGAAUCAUACAGAGAAGAUUAACAUGGCCCCUGCAUAAGCAUGACAAACAAAUUCAUGAAGUGUUCCAUAUUUUU
ensembl:snRNA U6 U6 spliceosomal RNA